AGUGAACGCUGGCGGUAGGCCUAACACAUGCAAGUCGAACGGCAGCACAGUAAGAGCUUGCUCUUACGGGUGGCGAGUGGCGGACGGGUGAGGCAUACAUCGGAAUCUACUUUUUCGUGGGGGAUAACGUAGGGAAACUUACGCUAAUACCGCAUACGACCUACGGGUGAAAGCAGGGGAUCUUCGGACCUUGCGCGAUUGAAUGAGCCGAUGGCGGAUUAGCUAGUUGGCGGGGUAAAGGCCCACCAAGGCGACGAUCCGUAGCUGGUCUGAGAGGAUGAUCAGCCACACUGGAACUGAGACACGGUCCAGACUCCUACGGGAGGCAGCAGUGGGGAAUAUUGGACAAUGGGCGCAAGCCUGAUCCAGCCAUACCGCGUGGGUGAAGAAGGCCUUCGGGUUGUAAAGCCCUUUUGUUGGGAAAGAAAAGCAGCAGGUUAAUACCCCGCUGUUCUGACGGUACCCAAAGAAUAAGCACCGGCUAACUUCGUG
rnacentral:rRNA from 1 species